rnacentral:rRNA from 1 species
CCUACGGGAGGCAGCAGUGAGGAAUAUUGGUCAAUGGACGAGAGCCUGAACCAGCCAAGUAGCGUGAAGGAUGACUGUCCUAUGGGUUGAAAACUCCUUUUAUAAAGGAAUAAAACGAGGCACGUGUGCGUUUAUGCAUGUACUUUAUGAAUAAGGAUAGGCUAACUCCGCGCCAGCAGCCGCGGUAAUACGGAGGAUCCGAGCGUUAUCCGGAGUUAUUGGGUUUAAAGGGAGCGUAGAUGGGUUGUUCAGUCAGUUGUGAAAGUUUUCGGCUCAACCGUAAAAUUGCAAUUGAUACUGGCAGUCUUGAGUAAAGUAGAGGUAGGCGGAAUUCGUGGUGUAGCGGUGAAAUGCGUAGAUAUCACGAAGAACCCCGGUGGCGAAGGCAGCUUACUAGACUGUAACUGACAUUGAUGCUCGAAAGUGUGGGUAGCAAACAGGAUUAGAUACCCCGGUAGUC